UUCUCAUCGGUGAUCUUAGAAACAGCACGGAGAGCGUAACGAUUUCCAACGGCGAGGAAAGAUAAUAGGAACAGCAGUGUACAAAGACAUCCGUAAGCCAGUGGAGCAUCGCUGGUUGCACCCUGAGUGAGGCAGAAGGGACUGGGAAAGUGCGGCGCCUCCCUCGAGUAACUUUGCUCCUCCCAGCUGACCUUCAUCCUAGGUGCUAAGAUUCUACCACCCACACUGGCGAAUAUCUCUCCGGGGAUACUCCCCUGGUAGACAACACUUGACUUUCCUUCGGGCACAUGAGACCAAGGAAAAUCCCAACUGUGGACCACUUACUUGGAAAUGUUAUGGUUUUCACGGAUCUUCACGUGGCAGAGAAUGUUGGGCAGCUUUUGGGUUACGAGCACUUUGAUCUGAUCUACAGAGCUACAUAGCUUCAGGUAUGAAAGCAGCACUUCGGACUUAAUGGUUGUAAUUAUGACUUUUCGAUGGAAAGCAAUAUCAAGAAAGAUGAACUAAAUUCUUAGAAGAGUAGAAUAAAGGGACCCGACUUUUACCACUAACUGUGAGGAAGACAGGAAUUAAAACCAAAGCCAAUGCCUGAACUUGAACAGAAAUCUUUAGGGAGAAGAAGGAAUGCGGCUUCCCAGGCAGAUUCUCUCUGAAGGAACAAGUCCUCCUCUGGAGGACUCACUGUGUGCUCCCUGCCAUACCCUCUGUCCUGUGCAUCACACUUCUGAGUACCUGUGGGGUGCUCUGCCCAAAGGAAGAAUGGGGCCUUAGGUAAAUGUACUGAGACAUCCUCUGGAGAAAGGCAGGCAAAGAAAAAUGUGCUCCUGAAGAAGAACUGAGUUGGCCGAUAAAUAUCAAAAGAAGAACUCCGAUCUCCUCACUCUUUGUUUAGGAUUCCAUACCAAAUCCCACCAUGCGUAGGUGCAUAGCUCAACCUGUCCAAGAAGCCUUCCUGUGUCCAGGGAUCUGAAAUAGGAGAGACCACUGCCUCCUUCUUUUCAGUAGGUUUCGUGACUGAGCUCUUCCAGUUUGAAGACACUUUCCAGAGCUCAAGCCCUGGCCCCUCACCUGUAGCUGCGCUGUGGCAGCAAGCAUCUUCUGCCGAGUUUGCAGCACAGUGGACGAGGACAUAGAGAUGGGCACGCUUUGCCUCAGCCACCUGAUGUCUUCCCACAUACAAGACAGCUGCAAAAGAAGUCACGAGGUCAGAUCAUCGUCCCAGCCAGAGAGUGAUUUAGGUUGUGGCAUCAAAGCAAAGGGGGUUGGGGGGGUGGAGGAGGAAACCUGACCCCCCCCCCCCGAUAUUUGUCCUCCUCUCCAUUUUCAGAUGCACACGAAACAACUUUUUGAUCUCUGUCCAAUUGGAAAAAGAUCUGAAUGCUAAUGAAACAGUCAGAUCUACAUUUUAGUCUUUGCCAAAUGAUCCCAUAACUCUGAGCAGUGGAGACACGAUCUGACGGGAUGCACGCUUCUCUGCUUUGAAAAUGUAGUGGAGAUUCUUGCUUUGGCCUUUAAAAGAAAAUGACAUGGGGCAUACUGGGGCUACAAGGGAUCGCUGAGAUAAUUUACUCCCCUCCCGAAACUUUGAUCGUGAGAAACCCCUCAACUAAAGUUUCGGAGAUUUAUGUGCAUUAACCCUGGUGCAAAAUAGGGAAAGAAAAUGAAAUGAGAACUCAGUGUACCUUCAUGAACCACAGAAAAUCUUGUGUAAUAGAA